UUUCCGUAGGUGAACCUGCGGAAGGAUCAUUAAAGAGAAUAUGCCCUUCGGGGUAGAUCUCCCACCCUUUGUUUAUAUUACCUUUGUUGCUUUGGCAGGCCCGUCUUCGGACCACCGGCUUCGGCUAGUCAGUGCUUGCCAGAGGACCCAAAACUCUUAUUAUUAAUGUCGUCUGAGUACUAUAUAAUAGUUAAAACUUUCAACAACGGAUCUCUUGGUUCUG
rnacentral:misc_RNA from 1 species